rnacentral:lncRNA from 1 species
UCUUUACUUGCCAUAGGAGAAACAAAAUUUGCCAAAUCAUUUGUGCUUUAGUAUUUUACUUAAAACUGUUUUGUUUUCUUUUGUUUUUUGUUUUCUACUUGAAAUAAAUCUUGCCCAUUUUUUCUUCUGCCUACUUAUUGAUAACUUUUUCUAGAAACUCACUAUAAAAUCUGUAUGUUCGAAACUUAAAUGGAGUUGAUUAGCACCUUCUUUUAUAAUGAUGCUUAUCAUUUUUAACUAGCCUGGGUUUUCAUGGAAACUAUAAAAAAAAAGCAUCUGUUGGUUAUGUAUUGAUAUUUAAAAUACCUGGACCAUCUCUAUGAUGUUACAUCAAAAUAGAUGACCAGUGUACUCAAUAUUAAAACAUAGCUGUGUCCUUUUCAUUUGUCAGAGUGGAAUGAAAUACACAUAUACACACACAUAUAUACUGCUCUCUCUCUCUCUCUCUCUCUCUCUCUCUCUCUCUCUCUCUCUCUCUCUCUCACACACACACACACACACACACACACACACACACACACAUAUCAUUGUGUAUACCAGGAUAAGACUUGUAGGAUUCAGUUAUGUUGAUUGGCAGCUACAUCGCAUUUGUGACACUUCCACGGCCUUCUCUCCCUCCACCCUUCCAUCCUGCCUUUAUUUUCUUUUUUAUACUGGUGCUACAGGUUGAAGCCAGGUGCCUGGGCAUUCCAGACAGCACAGGUGCCUGAGAGUUCUAGACAGCACACAGCUGUAUCUCCCCAGACCCUUGCACUGGUAAUUUAAUAGAUUCUAGGGAUUAAAUUUGGUCUACUAUAUGGAAAAUUACAUAAAUAUAACUUUUGAAGUAUCAGUAAUGCAAGUAGGUCUUAAAUGACUGUUUAUGCCAUGAACUAAUGCUUCCAGGAUGGAUGCAAGCCCCCUUUCUGUUUAGAUGGGGAAAUGGACAUAAGACAAAGAUUUCCUUAUUCCCAACUGCUUUAUACUUUUCAUAUAGAAUACACCUAAAAACUAGAUUCUAGACAUAUCUACAGGAGGACUUUCCAUGAUGGAAGAAAGGGGUUGGUCCUCAGGAUGUCACUGCAAAACUGAACAAGGCGGGUUCUUAUUUCAUCGCUGAUUUUUAUCAGUUGAGCUCCUCCUAAAUAAAUCUUUAAUUGCUGGGAGAACCUGAGUCUAGUUCUUAAGUUGAAUUUUAAAAGACGUACAUAAAGGGGCAGUACAGGAAAGUGGAUUGACAUGUACUACAUUCGCUUUAGUGUGACAAACCCAUAAUUGACUCAGUGAAGGUUUGCGGUUUUAUUUUGCUAAUUGUUUUUGUACUGAAAUUUUUGUUAUAUACAGUCCUACAGGGUGGCAGUGGUGCAGACAAACAAUGUCGAGUCCUCUUUGCCUACACGAAAACUUCACAAACUCACUGAAGAGUAAAUGAUCUAACUUCCCAAUCAGAAACAGAUCUAGUACCUGAUAGAAACUGCAGUCACUUAAGUUUGACAGACACCUCACAAAAUGUGCCUAUUUCCCGUCUUAACUAAACCAUCUUUCCUGAGUAAGGCAGAUCAAAAUCCAAACACUUAUAAAUACAAGAUGUACAUAGUCACGCAUAUGUAUUCUGUACAUAGUAUGGUGGUGCAGGCAUUAAUAGCUAUGCACUUCAGACCUUGACAGAAGACUUGGAGAAGAUGCUUUUCUGAUGUUGCUAGGCAACUCGAUUUCGGUUAGCAUAUAGUGUCUACACUCACCCCUCCUUGGAUGUGUCUCUGCUCAGCUGACGCACCUUCCACUAUUACCGCUUUUUUCCCAUUGCCUGUGAAUUUCCCACGACCCUGUCCCCUAAACCAGAAUUUUUUGUUCCCAGCAUAUCAACCAAACACCCACCACAAUUUGCAGUAUUAAUAUCAGUCAAAGGUCCUAUGUUUUUAUCAACUAAAAUUGCAUUUCCAGAAUCUUUUGUGCAUGAUCUAACCUAUAGUAUCUAAUUCUGUGGGGAUUUAAGUUUAGAGGGAAUAGGUUUGAAUCCACAAUUCCUGUGUGUCUACUGAGUUAGUGUAGCCAGGGGGGACUGGUUUCCAAAGCAUUCCCACAAUCGUCUGCAUUAGUUCGGGUCCUUCCUGUCUUAGCAUGACUUGUAGGGUACGUCAGUACUUAUUCAUGAGAGGCAGAACUUGAUUGAUUGCAGCAGAGUGACUGUCCGAAGCUCAUGGGACAUGCACAUGUACUGUAUGUAUCUCCAUAGAGACUGGAAUCCAUUUAUUGUAUGUAAAGUUUUAUGAACGGUUAUUUUAUAAUUUAUGUAUUUAAUAUAGGAAUCAAUGAACUCUGGUGUUUUAGUUUCUAUGAAAAAAAUAAAACAAACUGCAUUUUUGUAAAAAAAUAAAACCUUUUACCUU